rnacentral:sRNA from 1 species
GGAAGGAUGAGAAGCUUCGACUAAGGUUCGACUCGAGCGCCAGCGAGAGAGCGUUGCCGCAGGCAACGACCCGAAGGGCGAAGCGCGCAGCGCUGAGUAAUCCUUCCCCCACCACCA